rnacentral:rRNA from 1 species
UAUCUCUGUAGAGUCUGCAUAUCAAUAAGCGGAGGAAAAGAAACUAACUAGGAUUCCCUUAGUAACGGCGAGUGAAGCGGGAAGAGCUCAAAUUUGAAAUCUUCAAGGUUCUACCUUGACGAAUUGUAGUUUAAAGAAGUGUUUUCUGUUGGAUGUUUUGGUAAAAGUUCUUUGGAAUAGGACAUCAUAGAGGGUGAGAAUCCCGUAUUUGACCAUUACUUUCCAGCUUUGUGAUACACUUUCAAAGAGUCGGAUUGUUUGGGAAUGCAGUCCAAAAUGGGUGGUAAAUUUCAUCUAAAGCUAAAUAUUGGCGAGAGACCGAUAGCGAACAAGUACCGUGAGGGAAAGAUGAAAAGAACUUUGAAAAGAGAGUUAAACAGUACGUGAAAUUGUCAAAAGGGAAGCGUUUGACACCAGUGUUGUUUUCUCGAAAAUCAAUUAAAAAAAGUUGGAUUUUGUAUUGUUAAGACCUUAUCAGCUUACUGUACUCUUUUCUUGCUUUUUUUAAUGCACUUUUCGUUUAACAAGUCAACAUCAAUUUCUUUUGUUGUAAAAGAGUCAUUGGAAGGUGGUUUUCACUUCGGUGAAAGUGUUUAUAGCCUUUGGCUUCUGCAAUCGGAGAGAUUGAGGUCUGCAGCGUAGAUCCUUCGGGGCUAGAUACGUAGAUGCUAAGUUAUAGUUUUUUAUAGACAACUUGUUGACUAUAAUUAAUCAUGUAGCUUACUCGUUUGCGCUAUUUUACCUACGCUUAGGAUGUUGAUAUGCAUGACUGAUAU